CCCUUAGAGUUUGAUCCUGGCUCAGGAUGAACGCUGGCGGCGUGCUUAACACAUGCAAGUCGAACGGGGAACCUUUUAUUGAAGCUUCGGCAGAUUUAGCUGGUUUCUAGUGGCGGACGGGUGAGUAACGCGUGGGUAACCUGCCUUAUACAGGGGGAUAACAGUCAGAAAUGACUGCUAAUACCGCAUAAGCGCACAGAGCUGCAUGGCUCGGUGUGAAAAACUCCGGUGGUAUAAGAUGGACCCGCGUUGGAUUAGCUGGUUGGUGAGGUAACGGCCCACCAAGGCGACGAUCCAUAGCCGGCCUGAGAGGGUGAACGGCCACAUUGGGACUGAGACACGGCCCAGACUCCUACGGGAGGCAGCAGUGGGGAAUAUUGCACAAUGGGGGAAACCCUGAUGCAGCGACGCCGCGUGAAGGAAGAAGUAUCUCGGUAUGUAAACUUCUAUCAGCAGGGAAGAAAA
rnacentral:rRNA from 1 species